rnacentral:rRNA from 1 species
UGAACGUGGCUACUGUGCCAGCUGGUGGAUCGCUCGGCUUGAGAGCUGAUGAAGGACGUGCCAAGCUGCGAUAAGCCUGAGGGAGCCGCACGGAGGCGAAGAACUCAGGAUUUCCGAAUGGGAAUCCCCACCGCAAUUGCUUCGCGCAAUGGGGAACGUCGAGAAUUGAAACAUCUUAGUAUCGACAGGAAAAGAAAGCAAACGCGAUGUCGUUAGUAAUGGCGAAUAAACGCGACAGAGUCCAAACCGAAGCCUUCACGGGCAAUGUGGUGUUCGGGCUGACUCUCAUCAGCGGAAACGCGACGCGAAGUCUCUUGGAAUAGAGCACGAAACAGGGUGACAGUCCCGUACCGUCGACGAGUAUGCUGUGCGUCAGUCCCAGAGUAUCGGGGGUUGGAUAUCCCUCGUGAAUAUCGCGGGCAUCGACCGCGAAGACUAAACACUCCUCAAGACCGAUAGCGAACAAGUAGCGUGAGCGAACGCUGAAAAGCACCCCACGAAGGGAGGUGCAAUAGGGCGUGAAAUCAGUUGGCGAUGGAGCGACAGGGCACACAAGGUCCCGGACAUAAUGAAUCAGGUGCGAACCUGUAGUAAGCAGUUUGGGAAGCCGGUGUUCUGUCGUACGUUUUGAAAAACGAACCAGGGAGUGUGCCUGUUUGACGAGUCUAACCCGAUUAUCGGGGAAGGCGUAGGGAAACCGACAUGGCCGCAGCACUUUGUGCGAGGGCCGCCGUGUUCAAGCGCGGGGAGUCAAACGGGCACGACCCGAAACCGGACGAUCUACGCAAGGGCAAGAUGAAGCGUGCCGAAAGGCACGUGGAAGUCUGUUAGAGUUGGUGUCCUACAAUACCCUCUCGUGACCUUUGUGUAGGGGUGAAAGGCCCAUCGAGUCCGGAAACAGCUGGUUCCAACCGAAACAUGUCGAAGCAUGACCUCUGCCGAGGUAGUUCGUGGGGUAGAGCGACGGAUUGGGGGACCGCACUCCGAGAGGAGUGCGCCCCCCUGUCCAACUCCGAACCUACGAACGCCGUUUGACGCAGGGAGUCCGGUGCACGGGGUAAGCCUGUGUACCGUGAGGGAGACAACCCAGAGCUGGGUUAAGGUCCCCAAGUGUAGACUAAGUGCGAUCGAAGGUGGUCUCAAGCCCUAGACAGCCGGGAGGUGAGCUUAGAAGCAGCUACCCUCUAAGAAAAGCGUAACAGCUUACCGGCCGAGGUUUGAGGCGCCCAAAAUGAUCGGGGCUCAAGUCUACCACCGAGACCUAGCAGUGCGGCUCACACCGCAAUCUUGUAGGUUGGCGUUCUGUUCGGGUGGAAGCACGGAAGAGAUUUCGUGUGGACCGUUCAGUAACGAAAAUCCUGGUCAUAGUAGCAGCGUUAGUCGGGUUAGAACCCCGACGGCCGAACGAGUAAGGGUUCCUCAGCAAUGCUGAUCAGCUGAGGGUUAGCCGGUCCUAAGUCUGCCCGUAAGUCGAAGCAGACAACAGGGAAAUAGGUUAAUAUUCCUAUGCCAGUGUGCACUCAAAGCUGACGCUUUGGGGCCGCCUGAGCCGGGCUUUCGCCCGGUCGAACUGUCGAAGAGCGUGGAAGCCGUAAUGGCACGAAGCGUUCGAAUGGCAGGAUCGCG